GCUUGGUCUCUUAUAGGAUAGAUAUUAAAAAAAAAAACAACACGAGACGGAAACCCCGAUGCUUUGCGCCUCCAUCUCUUCGUCUUCUCCCUUUGCUCUUCAUCGUAACAGAUCUCUCGAUCCACAUCUCUACAAUCAGUACCCCACGACAUCUCGAUCCAUCAAUUCUUCUUGAUGAGUUCCUUUCCGUUUGCUCUUCUCCUCCUCCUUUAUAUACUGUUAUUCUCUUUCGAGUGGAAACCAAACCUCGAACUUUGGGAGCAAGCCGCUUUGGUUUUCAAAUCCACCAAUUCGGAACAUGUGAUCAAGCCAACCUUUCUAGGCGUCCAUAUGAUUAUUAACAGAAAAUGUGAGAGCUGGAAUAUAAACUUAGUAGUCAUGGAAAGCCGCCACCAUCUGAAACUGGGGUAAAAUUGUGUAUUUUUUUAUCUUUAAUUUUUAUUUUUAGAUAUUAAGAUUUGAUUACUGUUAAAAAAAGGGUUUGAUUACUGUUAUGGUGCAGGGAAAGUUAUUACUUUUCGAUCAAAUAUUCAAGAAGUGUGUUGAUGGAGUGUUCAUGCGACCUUGAUGGAUCUGGUUCACAAGUCUGUGAAUGAGACGUGUUAUAGACGGCUUGAACAUGUGUAAGGAUUGAACCAAUACCAAACUCUGAGUGCGGCGAUGAAAAAUACAGCCAUAGAGUCAGUGAACAAGAAGUGGGAGGGAAGUAAGAACGCAACACUGCAGCUGGUGGACAUGGAGUGCAGUUACAUCACUGUUGAUUUCUUCAGGAAGCUCUCCACAGCUCUGAGAAUACCGAGUGUUUUGCUCCAUUGUGGUCGGUGUGAUUCAGUCCAGAGAAUAUUGCUGAUGCUUAGCUAAGCUUCCACAAACCAUGGACAGGAAGAGGAGAAGCGUUUUUUGAGGGAGCUAUUGAGGCAGAGAGGAAGCGCAAGAGAAGAAGAAGAAGAAAAGGUACAAGAGAGAGAAAAGUGAGAAGCUGGAGAGAGAAAACCUGCUAGAGUAAGAGUGAGAUAAGAAAAGGAAUUUGCUGUUGGAAACGGAACUUGGGAAUGGACCGGCUGCUACACAAAGAUUUCUGAAUCAAUGGACGUGAAUUGCCGUAUUAAUACAUAGAAGAAACGAUUUCAAGAGGUAUGGCCGAAAAUGUCUGCUUUCUCUGGUUAGAGUAAGACAACAUGGGAUAUACUUGGCGUGAAGCUUUCAUGGAGACAAUUGAGACGGACGAUGGUUGUUCUUUCUUAUACUUGGAUCUCUGAAGAAAGAAGAACCAUCCUUUUUAUUUAAUCACAACUACUUAUCAAAUAUGUGAAAGCGGUGGGAAAAUGGGUUCGGUGGUUAUGGCUGAGGGAUACUUUGUUUUGUUAUGGUUAUGGAACUAUGCGGGUUUCUAUUUAACCACCGGACUGACGCUGUGUUUGUUGAGUUAAGGGCAAGAGAGUCUGUUUUUGUAGUAUCUUCUGUUCGAGGUUUAGACUCUUGCAGGAAUGGUGAUCUCACCAAACUCGAGAGGUAUCACAAUCGGAGACCUUGGUUCUAUCGUGAUAUUAAUAAUUUUGGGCUUGGUAGUUCUUCCA